AGGCGGCGGCAGCCCGCGUGGCGCUGUGGCGCCCAGCGAAGGGGCAGUGCUGGCCACUCGUGUGGCCCUUUGGCUGCUGGCACCCAGUGAGAGGGGGGAGGCCAGGGACAGGUGGCAGCCAGGCUGCCCACAGGCCCUGGGCGGUGGGGGCCCGGCCCCUGUGCCUUGGGCAGCCUGGCCCUUGCUGAGGCGUGCUUGCGCGUGUCCGUUGUCGCCCUCACCCAGCUGCUGUGGCGGAGAAACGGAGGCCAGCGCGGGGAGCGGAAGCCGGAGCCUGUCGGGAGCGACCCCGGGAAGGCCAGUCCUCCUGCCGGAGGGAGGCGUGUUGGCGUGCGGCCGGUGGCGGGAUCGAUGGCCACCUGGUAGGCGAUGCUGCUGUGGCGGAGAAACGGAGGCCAGCGCGGGGAGCGGAAGCCGGAGCCUGUCGGGAGCGACCCCGGGAAGGCCAGUCCCUCCUGCCGGAGGGAGGCGUGUUGGCGUGCGGCCGGUGGCGGGAUCGAUGGCCACCUGGUAGGCGAUGCUGCUGUGGCGGAGAAACGGAGGCCAGCGCGGGGAGCGGAAGCCGGAGCCUGUCGGGAGCGACCCCGGGAAGGCCAGUCCCUCCUGCCGGAGGGAGGCGUGUUGGCGUGCGGCCGGUGGCGGGAUCGAUGGCCACCUGGUAGGCGAUGGUAAGCGGCAGUGGCCUGCGCCAACGUAGCCCCUGGGGCGCCGUGUGUGGCGCCCGGGGGUGGAGCUGACCUGCUUGCCCGCGGUUGGGCUCGGGAGCCUGCGGGCCGCGGCCAGGAGGGAGCUGGCUGGCCGUCCGGCGGUGGGGGCUGUGGCGGUGGCCGUCCCGCGGGUGUGCCCGUGCUCGGAUCGAUGAUGACACCCACAAACGCAUU
rnacentral:lncRNA from 1 species